rnacentral:rRNA from 1 species
CCUACGGGUGGCAGCAGUGGGGAAUAUUGGACAAUGGGCGAAAGCCUGAUCCAGCCAUGCCGCGUGUGUGAAGAAGGCCUUCGGGUUGUAAAGCACUUUCAGUGGGGAAGAAAGCCUUGGGGCUAAUACCCUCGAGGAAGGACAUCACCCACAGAAGAAGCACCGGCUAACUCCGUGCCAGCAGCCACGGUAAUACGGAGGGUGCGAGCGUUAAUCGGAAUUACUGGGCGUAAAGCGCGCGUAGGCGGUCUGAUAAGCCGGUUGUGAAAGCCCCGGGCUCAACCUGGGAACGGCAUCCGGAACUGUCAGGCUAGAGUGCAGGAGAGGAAGGUAGAAUUCCCGGUGUAGCGGUGAAAUGCGUAGAGAUCGGGAGGAAUACCAGUGGCGAAGGCGGCCUUCUGGACUGACACUGACGCUGAGGUGCGAAAGCGUGGGUAGCAAACAGGAUUAGAUACCCGUGUAGUC